rnacentral:rRNA from 1 species
CCUACGGGAGGCAGCAGUGGGGGAUAUUGCACAAUGGGGGGAACCCUGAUGCAGCGACGCCGCGUGGGUGAAGAAGCGCCUCGGUGCGUAAAGCCCUUUCAGCCGGGAAGCAAAUGACGGUACCUGUAGAAGAAGCCCCGGCUAACUACGUCCCAGCAGCCGCGGUAAUACGUAGGGGGCACGCGUUCUCCGGAUUUAAUGGGUGUAAAGGGGGCGCAUACGGCUGUGCAAGCUAGGAGUGAAAGCCCGGGGCACAAACCCGGUACGGCUCGUGGAACUGCGUGGCUGGAGUGCAGGAGGGGCAGGCGGAAUGCCUGGUGUAGCGGUGAAAUGCGGAGAUAGCAGGAGGAACACCGGUGGCGAAGGCGGCCUGCUGGACUGCAACUGACGUUGAGGCCCGAAAGCGUGGGGAGCAAACAGGAUUAGAUACCCGUGUAGUC